UACGGAGGGUGCAAGCGUUGUCCGGAUUUAUUGGGUUUAAAGGGUGCGUAGGCGGUUCGAUAAGUCAGUGUUUAAAGUCUGCAGCUUAACUGUAGGAAUGGCAUUGAUACUGUUGAACUUGAGUAAAGUUGAGGUGGGCGGAAUUGAAAGUGUAGCGGUGAAAUGCAUAGAUAUUUUCAAGAACACCAAUUGCGAAGGCAGCUCACUAAGCUUUAACUGACGCUGAGGCACGAAAGUGUGGGGAUCAAACAGGAUUAGAAACCCGCGUAGUCC
rnacentral:rRNA from 1 species